UAAUGUAUAUCUGUACGUAACGGUUGACCAUCGCUAACGACAAAACCAUUCUGAGCGGAGUUCAGUUAAUAGUGUUGCUUCGUCAACAAUAUAUAUGUUAUAUUAUAGUAAAACAAUUAAAUAAGCAUUGAACAUUUUCUUUAAUAAUAUUUGUUUAAUAUUGUACUUAUUUUUCCGGUUUCCCGUUUUUCCUCCUUUUUCCCCUGGUUUUUCUAAUGUGUCGAGAAAACUCCCGAGAUAAAGAUAAUGAAUACUUAAAUUACCU